rfam:Pseudomonas sp. TW4, complete genome.
GAUUAUGGCGGCUGUGCGUCGGAGACCUUCGGGUCUGCCGGGUUUGCCUGUAACCGGUUCGCUAACCUUCGUACAGUCGCCACCCUU